UACAGAGGGUGCGAGCGUUGUCCGGAAUCACUGGGCGUAAAGGGCGCGUAGGCGGGCGGUCCAGUCUUUUUGUGAAAUCCUCCGGCUCAACCGGAGAAUAGCAGGAGAUACUGACCGUCUCGAGGGGGGGUAGGGGGCUGUGGAACUUCCGGUGGAGCGGUGAAAUGCGUAGAUAUCGGAAGGAACGCCGGUGGCGAAAGCGACGUGCUGGACCCUUUCUGACGCUGAGGCGCGAAAAGCCAGGGGGAGCAAACGGG
rnacentral:rRNA from 1 species